GACGAGCGCUGGCGGUGUGCUUAACACAUGCAAGUCGAACGGAAAGGCCCUGCUUUUGUGGGGUGCUCGAGUGGCGAACGGGUGAGUAACACGUGAGUAACCUGCCCUUGACUUUGGGAUAACUUCAGGAAACUGGGGCUAAUACCGGAUAGGAGCUCCUGCUGCAUGGUGGGGGUUGGAAAGUUUCGGCGGUUGGGGAUGGACUCGCGGCUUAUCAGCUUGUUGGUGGGGUAGUGGCUUACCAAGGCUUUGACGGGUAGCCGGCCUGAGAGGGUGACCGGCCACAUUGGGACUGAGAUACGGCCCAGAAUCCUACGGGAGGCAGCAGGGGGGAAUAUGGCACAAUGGGCGGAAGCCUGAUGCAGCAACGCCGCGUGCGGGAUGACGGCCUUCGGGUUGUAAACCGCUUUCGCCUGUGACGAAGCGUGAGUGACGGUAAUGGGUAAAGAAGCACCGGCUAACUACGUG
rnacentral:rRNA from 1 species